UAGCCUCAGUAAAUAGACACAGAUUUGUAGCUGAACAAGUCGUUGAAUGUAUAGAUUUAGUUAUUACUUGGUGCUCCUGCCUCUAAGUGUUUCUCAGGUUCCCUUUUCACCUUGUGGGUUCCAGGAUAAUGUGCCUGGUGAUUUAAAUAAAAACUUAAAACAGCAAUACAGAAGACUUGGAUGACUUAUUCUGUUUUUCAAAAAUAUAUUUUAUUCAAACUAUAAAUGCAAAAAUGACAUGCAUGAAACAGACCAGAAAAAAAAGAGAGACUACAUUCUUUUCAAUAUGUUCAACAUUGAUUGGAGCUUCUUUAACAUUGCAAUGGUUGGAGGAUACCAAAACCCUUUCAAUCAUUUUGGGAAUAGAACUAGUGUUGGGGACACUACUCUGAAAAUAUAUUUUACCAAGCUACCAAUUACUUCACACUGAAACAAGUUAAGCUACACUAAAGUCACCCUUCGAAAAAAAGAUAGUUUACUUAACUAGUUACUUUGAAAAAGUAGUUCACUACAUCAAACUACUUUGAUAAAAAAUAUCAUAUGUAAAUCUGAAAUGUCAAGACUAUAAAUUACAAGGCAGAUGCCUUUGGGGUUAACAGCCUAUUAAAAACAAUUCUUUGAAGUGAGAAUUAGGCAGGUCUGAUGCCGAAAAAAAUAGACAACAUCCAUAUUUUAUUUUUGCAAAAAAAAAAAGUAGUGUGUAGUUCCAGUAGUUAGCUACACCACUACAUGGUAAAACAUUUAUUCACGAGUGAAAACACUACCUAGAUUUGAAUUAUAUUAGUGCCGAGCUACUACAAAAUGUAGUUAAAUUACUAGCUGAACUACAUCUAGUUUACUACUCCCCAACACUGGUGAGAACCCAGCGCUUUGGAUUCAUUCACCUCCUCUAGCUCUAUCAGCAAGGGCUUUACUAAAACACACAAACCCAACCGGUUACUGAAGACCACAGCCUUACAGCUUUACUAAGAAGAGGAGAAAUAAAAUCAGAAUACAUUAAAUCAAAUUCACAGAUGCACAAGAGUUUCAAGUUUUAGCCAUGUGAGAGAAAAGUCAGACUGACAGGAACCGACAACAAAACGAGAAAGAGAGACCUUUGGCAUCACCAUUGACUUUAGAAAACGCAUUGCCAAGAUUGAUUAACGGCAGGCCUGUAUCCACUAUCUAGGUCAACAUAGACAAAAUACCAAAAGUAGAACAUUAAUACUUUUUCAUUUGGCCCUUCUCAACAUUGUCUGAAAAGAAUUCUCUUUUAAUACCCAGUUUAAUAUUUACUAUCAAAUGCCUGCAUAUAACAGUAAGGCUUCAAAAGGCUUGUCACAAUCAAUAAAGAUCCCAUGCUACAGAUGGCAACUGUGAAGAUUACUUAUUUUCAGAAGAUUAUCUUGUAUUGCUCUCCCCUAUAGGUUAUUUCUUACAUUUAGGAACUCCACUUUAGAGUUGUGCAGCAUAGCACAGGAGAA
rnacentral:lncRNA from 13 species